rnacentral:lncRNA from 10 species
GGGAAAGUCUGGCCCUAAGAAAAGCAACUGAUGAGCUAUCAGCUCAUGGACUGUCAGCAGGGCCAUCUGUAGGUGAUGCCCUCUCCUCUGUCUAUCCUCUUGUGAGGUCAAUCCAGCAGGAAGUCCAGCCCUGCCGAGAGAAGGGGGUACCAUGAAUGCACCGAUGGGACCAGAGUCCCUUCCGGAGCUCCCCAGGUCCCAGCACUGCUGUCCUCCUUGUCUGCCUGUGUCUUCUGGAGCUGGCCUUGAGGCCCAUGAAGAAAUGCAGCCUUUUGAAGUGUUUCCUGUUGCUGAGAGAAGAGAUUGCAGAACGUGGUAAAGGAAGCUGAGGAAUGUUGCAAAAUCUUUAAAGGUGGCCUGAAGUAACCGAAGAAUCACAAAAGAAGUGAAAACGCCCUGCCCCGCCUUAACUGAUGACAUUCCACCACAGAAGAAGUGAAAAUGGCCAGUCGUUGCCUUAACUGAUGACACUGUCUUGUGAAAGUCCUUUUCCUGGCUCAUCCUGGCUCAAAAGCUCCCCUACUGAACACCUUGUGACCCCCACUCCUGCCCGCCAGAGAACAAUCCCCCUUUGACUGUAAUUUUCCUUUACCUACCCAAAUCUUAUAAAACGGCCCCACCCCUAUCUCCCUUCACUUACUCUCUUUUUGGACUCAGCCCACCUGCACCCAGGUGAUUAAAAAGCUUUAUUGUUCACACAAAGCCUGUUUAGUAGUCUCUUCACACGGACAUGCAAGAAAGUGGUCUCCACAGUGAGACAGGUAAAUCUCACAGUGUGGACAAGGUAAUCCAUUGAAAUACACAAAGAAAAACUAGCAACCACUACUUUUAUUUAUUCAUUACAUUACAAUUUUAAUUUUAUUCUUUAUGUAUAUUCUUUUGUUUUGGAUGUUUU